GCGGGCGUAGUUCAGUGGUAGAAUAGCUCGUUGCCAACGAGUAGAUCAUGGGUUCGAUCCCCAUCGCCCGCU
rnacentral:tRNA from 1 species